UUCUAAUCAACAUCAAAUAGAUGAUGUAGUUGAAAAAAAAAUGUCUUAUAACUUAUGAGCAAAUUUUCUGUGGCAGAAAAAAGAAAUUGUAUUGACCAGAACAUUUACGCGGUGAUCGGAAAAAGCAGUCCAAACUCCAAAUCAAUGUCAAUGUUCACAUUCACCUAUGAAAUCAAAGUGAAAAGUCAUUGCUAGUCAAAGUUAAAUAACAAACAAAUCAAAGGGAGAGGCAUCAAUAUGCAAAUGUCUCAAAAAGCCACAAUAUGCAAAUGAAAAAGAAGUGAAGGUUCGGACAAAUGUACAACACAGGUUCUUGGAAUCCCUUGCAGAUUUGGUGAUCGGUGUCGAGCUAAUUCAUGUAAAAUCAUAAUUAAUUCAAAAGAUUACCAUUUACUUUGCUCUCUUUCCUUCAGCAUCUCCUCAACCAAACAAAGGAAAGGAAAAACUUGAGUUUCCUUCUUCUCUUCCCUCAUCCAUUCCUCAAAUUCUCCAUUUCGUCUGUAUUCUUUCCUUCAAAUUAGAGAUCAAAGUUUAAAAUCCUUGACUGAAUCAUUAUUCAACUCUAUUCAACUAAAUUGGCAUCAAAGAAGAAUCUAGCUUGCACUUGAGACUAAGCCUUUAAAAAAAAUAAGUGAAAAUUCAAAAGCUAGAUUGAACUUGCAAAUUGGUUUCAAUUUAUGUAUCAGACCACUUGGAUUCGAUGUAGUUGCUAUAUGAGCGCAACAACAAAAAUGAGUUAACUCACAAGUAGUCCACAUUGAAUUGAGACUAAUCCCAAAGUUCAUUGACAUGUACUUCAAUAUUACAUCACGUGUGUUAUUAGUUUACAAUACAAUACAUCACAUUCAAGAAAUCUGUCUUUCUUAUUUAAUAAUUGACCUGGACUUGAUAGUUUUGGCAAAGGGAGGCAGCAAGCUUGAGGCAACAACUACAGUACUUGCAAGACUACCACAGGUACUCAAAACCUCCACUAAUUCAUUGCUAAAACACUCUCAAAAAUAUUUCAACUUGUAGAUUUAAUGCAAGAAGUUAACUAAUUUUGUAGAUAAUACAAUACUUUUAUCUUUCUAAAUUUGCUAAGAAUUACAUAAAUGAAUCAUGCCCCAACAUCAAAAUUUUUUAGUAGUAACAAAUGGAUUACUGUACUCAUUUUAGAACUAGAUUUCAAUGUUCAAUUAUACUUCCCUUCCUUAAAGAUACAAGUAUUGGGCUAAACAAGGCCAGGUCUAUGAUUUAUUUUCAACAGGGAUAAGGUGAUAUGUAAUAUUAAAUAUACCAAAUACUCUACCACAAUCACAAACUAUCAAAAAUCAAAGAAAAGAAUUGCUCACCUGAAUAUGUUUUAACUUUGCAAGAAAGAAACUGUGCUCCAUUCCAACCCCUUGUUUCUUUUUCUUUUUUUUUUCAUAGAUUUACAUGUCUUUGUUCUUUUUUCUACUGAAUCUUCUUUUACUUUCGUUAUGGUGUACAACUUUUUUUAAUGGAAAGAACAAGUCAGGUGUUGUUCUGUAGUUUUUUAAAGCUUUGAAAAGUCCCAUAUCAGUCUUUCCUAUUUUACAUGUCAUAACAGCCUAUUAAUUUGCAAAGUACCUAUUAGAAUACUGAUUAUUUUCAAUGUUAAUAAUGAAGCAAUAUGUAUUUUUAUCAUUUUUUCAAUUUAAAUGGCGGCAAAAUAUAAUCUUUAAACUUUUAAACUAUUUUUAUAGUAUGACCAAAGAGACAUUAGGAUUUCAGUGGGGCCAAAUUCUAAAUUUGAAGUCUUCUCUAGACUUUAGUAAUCAAUAACAUUGGACAUGCAUUAGCUUAAAUAACAUCUGACUCAGGCAAUUGAUGGGAGAAGAACUAUCUGGUUUAAGUGUUAAGGAUCUACAGCACCUGGAAAACCAACUUGAAGGGAGCUUGAAAGGUGUCCGCACAAAAAAGGUAUGAUAGCUUCAGAUUUGGAUGAAAUUAUGCCCAUGAUAUUUAAGAUCAGAGAUGAUAAUAUUUACUGCAACUGCUCCUAUGUUGUUGUUCUUCCUCUAGGAACAAAUCCUAACAGACGAAAUCAAAGAGCUAAACCACAAGGUUUCUUUGAAAGUUCUGCCGCAGAUUUUCUUUUUCCAGAUUUACAUUCAUGGAUAUUUUUUGGUCAAGUAACUUCAAUUUAUUGAAUUGCAGGGACACCUUAUUCAUCAGGAGAAUCUAGAACUGUAUAAGAAAGUAGACCUCAUCCACCAACAAAAUACUGAACUUCAAAAGAAGGUAGUUGCCUAGAUAAUUUGAUAAAUAUCCCUUAUUCACCUCAUCCUUCCUCCUUUUACCUUUAUUAAUAAAAUGGAAGUUUACCACCAAGCCAGUACAAUGCUCUUGAAAUUUAACCAAAUGAAAAGUUUUCCUCCUGAUACUCUAAACAGCACAAUUGUUGGGUUUCAGAUUUAUGGAACAAGAGAAGCAAAUGAAGCUAGUAGAAUCUCCCACCCAAAUUAUACUUUCAACAAUGGAUAUGAUUUGCACGCACCUGUUCGUCUGCAGUUAAGCCAGCCCCAACCUCCUAAGAAUAAUGCACCAGCAAAAUCAAUGAAGUUGGGGUAAUUCUUCCACUCAAUACUGUUUUAAAAACUACAGCAAACAAAACCAGAAAGCAAACUAUUUCAAUAUCAAUCUAAAAUAAAUUCUUUAAAAAAAAACAGAUUACAGUUGCAUUAGAAAACUGGUCAGACAAUUAUGGAUGGACGUCAUCACUACCCGAUCAACAACUUGGGCUAUGGUUAGAGCAAAAGCUUCUACCAGUGAGUUUUCAUAUUCGAGCUAUUAGAUAAAGUAUAUCCAGCAUAAAAAAAAAAAGAAGAAGAAGAAGAAGAUUUCAUAUGAAAUAUUUAAUGAAAAAGAAAAACACUUUAGAAAUGCUGUAAAAUGAACAGAGAAACAAGUUAUCUGAUGUGACUUCACAUAAUUAUUAGAAUGCAUUGUUUUGUGUCUGAUGUUACUCAGCUGCCUGGUGAACUUUUGUGUUCAACGAGACUUCCUUACCGAGUGCAAAUUGCAACUUUAGUCCUUUGUGUUAUUGAAUAAAGAAAGUAUCUUACUUUUUUCUUCUAAAUAACUCCCCAUCCUUGAUGAAAGAAAAACAUAAAAACUGAAAAUUAAAAAAGGGGGGGGGGAAUCAAAUGAACUGAUAACUCAGUAUGCAUAAUUAACAGGGUACCUAACAGGAUAACAAGCAACUUUAUUUCACGAUGAGAAAGGACUUGAGUGAUUCACGUUACUAAAAAUUUGCUUUAGUUACAUAGGAUGGCCAAGAUUUUGUUGGCAGACAACCUUAGGUAUAGUCACCAUUUAGCCAUGUGCUCCUUUACUGCUCAAUACCUAUACUUCCAUCAACUCUCUGAAUGACACAAGAUUAACUACAAAGGGUAUAUAACAGUUUCAUCUUCAUCAGUAAUUGUAUUGAUUAUAUUAGACAGAAUCAAAACGUAUCUGAAAUCAAGUAUUUCUUAGUAAUAAAUGUCAUGAAAAAUUCAUAUAAUUACAGAGUAUGUGAAAAAAUAUUGUAGUCAACCGAAGACAUUCAUGCAUACAUCAAACAUAGCAUAAUAAGAACUGCUUAUCAUAAUCCAGCAGCAUAAGAAAAAUUAUAUUGAUCAUAGGAGGCUGGGAAAGAAGUUUUAACCAUACAGCUUGCAUAUCCUAGCAUCAUAAUAUCCUCAGAGGAAUAGGAUCUAAAAGAAAUGUGGCUGUUCAAGACAUUCGAAACUCCAUAUAAAUAAUAGUAUAAUCAAUUCCCAGCAGCCAGGUAAAGACAUUCUCAUGCUCAAUGCAGAAGUGGCAAACCCUAGAAUUUUUCAAUGUUUUUUAAAGGUACAGGCACUCUUCUCCUGAAUUCAAUGUGUG
rnacentral:lncRNA from 1 species